rnacentral:rRNA from 1 species
CCCCGGUAAACGGCGGCCGUAACUAUAACGGUCCUAAGGUAGCGAAAUUCCUUGUCGGGUAAGUUCCGACCUGCACGAAUGGCGUAAUGAUGGCCAGGCUGUCUCCACCCGAGACUCAGUGAAAUUGAACUCGCUGUGAAGAUGCAGUGUACCCGCGGCAAGACGGAAAGACCCCGUGAACCUUUACUAUAGCUUGACACUGAACAUUGAGCCUUGAUGUGUAGGAUAGGUGGGAGGCUUUGAAGUGUGGACGCCAGUCUGCAUGGAGCCGACCUUGAAAUACCACCCUUUAAUGUUUGAUGUUCUAACGUGGACCCGUAAUCCGGGUUGCGGACAGUGUCUGGUGGGUAGUUUGACUGGGGCGGUCUCCUCCUAAAGAGUAACGGAGGAGCACGAAGGUUGGCUAAUCCUGGUCGGACAUCAGGAGGUUAGUGCAAUGGCAUAAGCCAGCUUGACUGCGAGCGUGACGGCGCGAGCAGGUGCGAAAGCAGGUCAUAGUGAU